rnacentral:rRNA from 1 species
GAUGAACGCUGGCGGCGUGCCUAAUACAUGCAAGUCGAGCGAACGGACGAGAAGCUUGCUUCUCUGAUGUUAGCGGCGGACGGGUGAGUAACACGUGGAUAACCUACCUAUAAGACUGGGAUAACUUCGGGAAACCGGAGCUAAUACCGGAUAAUAUUUUGAACCGCAUGGUUCAAAAGUGAAAGCCGGUCUUGCUGUCACUUAUAGAUGGAUCCGCGCUGCAUUAGCUAGUUGGUAAGGUAACGGCUUACCAAGGCAACGAUGCAUAGCCGACCUGAGAGGGUGAUCGGCCACACUGGAACUGAGACACGGUCCAGACUCCUACGGGAGGCAGCAGUAGGGAAUCUUCCGCAAUGGGCGAAAGCCUGACGGAGCAACGCCGCGUGAGUGAUGAAGGUCUUCGGAUCGUAAAACUCUGUUAGUAGGGAAGAACAUAUGUGUAAGUAACUGUGCACAUCUUGACGGUACCUAAUCAGAAAGCCACGGCUAACUACGUG